UACAGAGGGGGCAAGCGUUGUUCGGAAUUACUGGGCGUAAAGGGCGCGUAGGCGGCCUUCUAAGUCGAACGUGAAAUCCCCGGGCUCAACCCGGGAACUGCGUCCGAUACUGGAAGGCUUGAAUCCGGGAGAGGGAUGUGGAAUUCCAGGUGUAGCGGUGAAAUGCGUAGAUAUCUGGAGGAACACCGGUGGCGAAGGCGGCAUCCUGGACCGGUAUUGACGCUGAGGCGCGAAAGCCAGGGGAGCAAACGGG
rnacentral:rRNA from 1 species